AUUGAACGCUGGCGGCAGGCCUAACACAUGCAAGUCGAACGAGUGGCGGACGGGUGAGUAAUGUCUGGGAAACUGCCUGAUGGAGGGGGAUAACUACUGGAAACGGUAGCUAUUACCGCAUACCAUCAGAUGUGCCCAGAUGGGUUUAGCUUGUUGGUGGGGUAACGGCUCACCAAGGCGACGAUCCCUAGCGAGUCUGAGAGGAUGACCACGCACACGGGAACUGAGACACGGUCGAGACUCCUACGGGAGGCAGCAGUUGGGAAUAUUGCGCAAUGGGCGCAAGCCUGAUGCAGCCAUGCCGCGUGUAUGAAGAAGGCCUUCGGGUUGUAAAGUACUUUCAGCGGGGAAGCGGUACCCGCAGAAGAAGCACCGGCUAACUACGUGCCAGCAGCCGCGGUAAUAC
rnacentral:rRNA from 1 species